GAAGGUUUGUCUUGACUUGGACCAAAAGUAGGUCGGUAAGAUACAAGUAAAAGUUAAUUUAAUUAUUUUAUUCAGGGACAAAGCAGAUUUUUUAGUUUGAAGCAUAUUCCCUCGAAAAAAAGUAAAAGUUACUUUUAAAGUUAGCCAAACUCAAGACCAUUUCCACUCUAUAUAGUGGCGUGUAGUUGAAAGUUUGAUAAAUUGUUCAUAUUUCAGUGUCUAAUUGAGGGAGAAUUACGAGCUUGACAAACGAGUUUAACUCGGCUGCUCCGAUUCCAACGACAGGGCACCCACCCAGUAGUGCUACAACCCCAACUAGCACUAUUUAUAAAAGGUGGACUCUUUUGUCAGGCUUGUCAUUCUCCUAUGUUGGCAUUGAACGACAACGGCCGGUGACCGGAUCCCCAUGGGACUGAGUCCGACAGCAAUUUGAUCCGCGACUAGCUGGCCUUUGGAGAUGGUAUCCGGGAACUAAGGAAACCCUAAUUAUUUAUCUUAAUCAUUAUACCGCAACGGUGAUAUUACAGGUACUCUGCGCCCUCCGAGCUGGUAUCUCGGUACUGAGAAACCCUAAUUAAUUUUCUAGUUUAAUUGGGUUUUCCUAAACUAAGUUUCUUGUCGCAAUUAGAUAUAUUAGGGUUUGCUUUUCUAUUGGGACAGACGGCCUUUACGAGCAGAAUGGAUGGACGUAGAAUCUUUUUAUGCUACAUAUUUGAUCUAUUUUCUCUUUGAUGUUAUAAUUCCAUAUGUGAUAUAUCCUGGCUUUAACAGUCUAUUUAAGAAGAUGGAUGGUUGUUUUUUUAUUUUAUUUAUUUAUUAUUAUUAUUAUUUUUGGUAAUUUCAUUUAGUGAUUGCUUUGCAAUAAGAUUUGUUUUGUUUUGUUUUUAUUUUUUUAAUGCCCCCAAGUAAACACAAGAAUGAUGGCAUUCAUUAUUGCCCGUCACUAUGGUUAUCCAAUUAGAAAAUUAUAAAAAUAUAUUGAUGCUUUUUUACGCUUAUUUAAUUGCUUUUUGUAAUAUUUUUGGACGCAUUUUUUGGCCCUAAUGCUAAGUUAUCUCUGGAAGUAUUGGUUCGUUUGCAGGCUUGCAUGGGCAGGAAAAAAAGAAGCUAUUUUUGCAUUCUACUGAGGCCAGUUAAAUGACUGUCUGUGGUAGGGGACACUUGUUAAGUCUUAACUCUUAAUAAUUCCACCAUAUCUAUAAAUUUUUCUCUUACAUAUCUGUUACAGUGGCAUAUGUACACACUUGCAACUGUGUGCUGGCUUCUUUUCCCUGCUAUUUAACAAUUAUCGUUGGACACUUGUUCGUAAAAGUAUUGUAUUCCAGGAUGUUAGAAAACGUGAAAGAGAAUUACACAUAAGCACACAGUUAAUGCAUGACGGUGUAAGAUUUUAAUAUGCAUGGUGAUAUUGGAGUCUUAUAAAAUUUGCUGUUGGGUGGUUUUCAGUACUCGCCUUUCUAUGUACAGAGUUGUUUUAACUAAUUUGGCAAUGAGCCUUAUACAGCAUGAUAGCUGUCUUUCGCUGGAAUUUACACUUGAUCUGUGUUUUGUAGUUCUUGCUCAUCUAAAGCAUUGAAAAUUCUUGAUGAUUGAUAUCUCUUUUCCGUUAGAUACUUGAUAUUCUUCUCCUAGUUCCAUUUUCUAAUAACACUUGCUACUCUAGUUUUCUGCAUAUGUGCUUUCAUUAUCUGCAUACAAUUGGAAGCCCUCCUAUAAUUCAAUCCUAGGCUUACUAUUGCACGUUCUUCAGGGCAGAUGAGGUUUGCACUUCUUGAUCUUUCAUUUUAGACCUUUUCUCAACCUGCCUCAGCUUUUAGAGCUGAUUUAUUUUUCAUAGCCCAGAAAGUUUAAGAUUUUGGAAUAUUUUAAACACAGCCAAUCCUUCGAAACUGGAAAAGAAUUGGAGAUUAUAGAAAGCGUAGUUAAAAGCCCAUACCUGCUCUAGUCCUCUACUCCUACAGCUGAAGUUGAACCCCUCGAAUUGAUGUUGCAAUUUUUUGGAGGUUGAUGACAUAUGGCGGGUAACAUGUGAUUUGUAACUUCUUGCAUUUUCUCUUUCUUUUUCUUCCUUUUGUUGUCUGUGGGUUCAUAUUUCCUUUUGGAGUCUUAAAAGUACUGAAAAAUCUAGCAAUUGGUUAUUUUGUGUUUGUAGUUUCAGUUGUGGAUAAAUGGCCUUGUCAUGUGAUAGCUAAUUGGUCCAUCGAUUUUGCGCUACUAAUUGCGUAUUAGACUUUUGAUAUUGUUGAUAUGUUUUACUAUGGGUUUUUUAGAUGGUUUAUCGUUUACGAAUAUGAUUUUUGUUCUUCGAUACAUUUUUCAGAUUUUUCUGGUGGUUCAUAUAAGGUGGCCAAGCCUCGCAUAGAAUAAAUGCCUCCAUACCCAAUUUAACCUUUUUAAACGCUGUUACACCCAUUUAUUAGUUAUCCAUUUACCUACUAGGGGAGUGUUUGAUAGUUAUUUUUGUGUAAAAAUGGAUUUUAGAAUAGCAAAUUAAUGUGAAAUGUGUGGUUGAAAAAUAAGGAAAAAAUUUUAAUUUGUGUGUAAUAUUAUUUUAAUAAAAAAUGUGUGGUUGAAAAGAAGAGAGAAAAAUGCAUUUUGAAAAAAAAAAAUGGCUACCAAAUGAGCCUUAGAUAAGAUAUGCUUCCAUAACAUUUGCCAUGUAAGGAAGAAUUAAUGUGCAGGGAAUGGUUUUAGAGCUCGUUACGAGUUUCCUUUUAGUAUCUUUGCUAUUUCGGUAACAAGGUUCCUCAAGUAUGCUUCUUUGACAUUCUUGUUUUGUAGGACUUGUUCAUUGACCUUCAUCAGAUGUGAAGAUUGUGUGGGUAAGUUAAAAUGAUUUCUUGUGCCAGUGGAUGGAUUCUUUAUUGAUCAUCGCUUUUUGUGCAAUGGGUUUGUUACCAAUGUUUGGCUUCCAUUUUUUGAAAUGAAAAUGGAUAGAAUAGGGGUUAUUUAUUUUUAUUUUUUUCCUGAAAAAUGAGUGGUAAAAAAAGAAGGAAAAACUUUUGGUUUACGUAUAAUAUUAUUUUAUGGAAGAUUAUGUGAUUGAAAACAGGAUUGUAAAUGAAUCUGAUAUUAAUCGAAUUUGCUCAAAUUCGAUCUGAUUCGAUAAUCAAAGGAUAUUAGAAUGUUAAAUCAAUUUUUGAUUUGUUAUGUUAUUUGAUCCGC
rnacentral:lncRNA from 1 species